CUGCUGGUAAAGGUCAUUACGUAUUACUUUACUUACCGGAGGAAAAGAACCAACAGGGAUUGCCCCAGUAACGGCGAGUGAAGCGGAACAGUUCAAAUUUGAAAUCUGGCCCCCUUGGGGGGCCCGAGUUGUAAUUUGAAGAGGAUGCUUUGGGCGAGGCGCCUUCCGAGUUCCCUGGAACGGGACGCCACAGAGGGUGAGAGCCCCGUCUGGUCGGACGCCGAGCCUCUGUAAAGCUCCUUCGACGAGUCGAGUAGUUUGGGAAUGCUGCUCUAAAUGGGAGGUAUAUGUCUUCUAAAGCUAAAUACCGGCCAGAGACCGAUAGCGCACAAGUAGAGUGAUCGAAAGAUGAAAAGCACUUUGAAAAGAGGGUUAAACAGUACGUGAAAUUGUUGAAAGGGAAGCGCUUACGACCAGACUUGGGCCCGGCGAAUCAUCCGGCGUUCUCGCCGGUGCACUUCGCCGGGCUUCCAGGCCAGCAUCAGUUCGCGCCGGGGGACAAAGGCUCGGGGAAUGUAGCUCCCCCGGGAGUGUUAUAGCCCCUUGCGCAAUGCCCUGGGGCGGACUGAGGUUCGCGCAUCUCGCAAGGAUGCUGGCGUAAUGGUCGUCAGCGACCCGUCUUGAAACACGGACCAAGGAGUCGUCUUCGUAUGCGAGUGUUCGGGUGUGAAACCCCUACGCGUAAUGAAAGUGAACGCAGGUGAGAGCUUCGGCGCAUCAUCGACCGAUCCUGAUGUUCUCGGAUGGAUUUGAGUAGGAGCAUACGGGGCCGGACCCGAAAGAAGGUGAACUAUGCCUGUAUAGGGUGAAGCCAGAGGAAACUCUGGUGGAGGCUCGCAGCGGUUCUGACGUGCAAAUCGAUCGUCAAAUAUGGGCAUGGGGGCGAAAGACUAAUCGAACCUUCUAGUAGCUGGUUUCCGCCGAAGUUUCCCUCAGGAUAGCAGUGUUGACUCAGUUUUAUGAGGUAAAGC
rnacentral:rRNA from 1 species